AUUGAACGCUGGCGGCAUGCCUUACACAUGCAAGUCGAACGGUAACGGGCCUUCGGGUGCCGACGAGUGGCGCACGGGUGAGUAAUACAUCGGAACGUGCCCGAUCGUGGGGGAUAACGAGGCGAAGGCUUUGCUAAUACCGCAUACGAUCUACGGAUGAAAGCAGGGGACCGCAAGGCCUUGCGCGGACGGAGCGGCCGAUGGCAGAUUAGGUAGUUGGUGGGAUAAAAGCUUACCAAGCCGACGAUCUGUAGCUGGUCUGAGAGGAUGAUCAGCCACACUGGGACUGAGACACGGCCCAGACUCCUACGGGAGGCAGCAGUGGGGAAUUUUGGACAAUGGGCGCAAGCCUGAUCCAGCCAUGCCGCGUGCAGGAUGAAGGCCUUCGGGUUGUAAACUGCUUUUGUACGGAACGAAAAGCCUUCUUUUAAUACAGGAGGGUCAUGACGGUACCGUAAGAAUAAGCACCGGCUAACUACGUG
rnacentral:rRNA from 1 species